CAUUUAUACUCGCCUUGGGCUGU
rnacentral:piRNA from 1 species